rnacentral:rRNA from 1 species
CGCGUAGGCGGACCUUCAAGUCGGAUGUGAAACCCGGCGGCUUAACUGCCGGCCUGCAGUUCGAUACUGUUGGUCUUGAGUACAUGAGAGGAAGGCGGAAUUCCAGGUGUAGCGGUGAAAUGCGUAGAUAUCUGGAAGAACACCAGUAGCGAAGGCGGCCUUCUGGCGUGAUACUGACGCUGAAGCGCGAAGGCUAGGGGAGCAAACA